UCUGCAAAUCUGAAAUCUCCACUAAUUCCAACUUCGGUUCAUCAUCAUCUCACAUUCCUAUGUCACCUCCUAUCUCUAUUUCCAUAUACAGACUUUCUAAUAACAUGCACUGCAAAAUUUAUUCUUUUCACUUGUAUAAUCAUAGAUCUCUUUUUUAAUAUAGUAAUAGAAGAAGGCCACCCGUUUUAUUUCUGGAGAAGCAUAUAUUAAGAAUAGAGUUCCUCAGACGACAGCUCUUGCUUCCGAUCUGCAGAAACCAAAUCACGAAAUGGAGUCAGCUAAAACCUGUUAAUCAAUUUUAUAUCAUGGCAAUGUUAACUGUAGUCAGCUAAAACUUGUAAACCAAUGUGAACAGUUCUUUCUUCGAGUCGAGCAAACACAUAAUGUGGGCUAAAACUUUUGAAUGUAUUUUAUGAUAAUCAUCAUUAUAUUGGUUAUGUCAACAUCUGUAUUUGUUCAAAACACAAAGUUAAAUUAAUUUGUACGUGCUUAACCAUAUGUAUUUCUUGUUAAUCAAUUUUAUA